AUGGCGAUGAUUAUUAGGUCACUGCGUCCUGUUCUACAAAUUUCCAGGCUGCAGAGUCUGAACUGUGUGGUGGCAUACAGCAACAAGGGUAGUGAUACUAAAGCACCAGCAGCCAGGCCACCGACUGCUACAACUGUCAAACCUCCAGAUCCUCCUAAGCCAGUAGCAGUGGACAGAAAUGACCAAUACCAAGUGAAAGAGUAUUUCAGCUAUAACGAGUUCUCAUACUAUGAUAUAGAUUCUGCAAUGUGCAAACACAGACUUCCACAACCAAACCCAAAUGUCAAAUCUUUGUAGAAUUUAACUGAGACAAAGUUUGUUUUAGCAAGUAUUGUUGUGUUAAUGUUUGACUUAAUUUAGUCUCACUCUGAUGAUCAUCAUCCAUUGAGCUUUUUCUCACAGAAUUUCCACAGGUUAUGUUUGAAAUGUAUUGAUUAGCUAUUUAUCCGUACUGUAAACUGCUCUAAUUUCUCAACUUUAGUGGAUCACCGAAAUACAAAUGUAUAAACUGAUUACAAUUUGUUUAAUGACCCUGAUUAAAAAUCAAACUCAAAUUUUAAAAUACAUGUACAUCAUAUAAUGGUCAGAUUAUUUUUUUUUUCAUCUAGAAACGAGUCCCUCUGUAAGUUUUCUUGAAUUUUGCUAUAGUAGUCUAUUCAUAAGCAGUUCAGAACGAUUGUUGAUGCUACUUUAGUACUUGCUUUGUAUUGGCAAUGGUAUUAAUAGAAUAAAAUAUUUAAUAUUUAAAA